UCAACUACCCAACGUCCCAAAGGCGGAUUUUCCAAAGCUGCGAAUAUCGAUUUCCUUCUUUGGAAAUACCGAAAACAACUAACUUAUAAGGUUUCCGUUUCAUUUCAACAUUCUUGCGGUAUCCGUUCUGGAGAUUAGCAAAUUCAUCAAUUUCACCAUUGUCACUGAACUGACUGAGAGUUUUUUCACGCCAGCCAGGGAUGAUUGAUUGAUGCUCAAUUUCUCAAGAAUUGGAGGUAACUGUAUCUAUAAUUGAUUUUUUAAAACACCCUCGUCAGCUUUUGGUGUUGUAUGAUCUUGAACAUGGACAUAUCAUUGCCGCUGGAUCAGCUACGGAGUAGUUGUAGGUAUGCGGCCUUCUUGACAGACCCACAUGUUCUGCAGGAAAGACUUGUCCUUUCUGGGAAUUUCUCCUUAUUCAGCAAGAAAAGGUAUAGAAAUGUGUUUUCUCAGAUUAGAAGUUCUCUUUCUGAACAUGGGUUUAUAAAGCCAAGACCCAUGAUGAAACCUUCCAAGAGGGAGGAAAAUUUAAGUGAAGAAACCAAUUCAAAAGUAAAUCAGAUUGGGGAUCCAGGUUCAGGGAUUAGUGCUCAAAUAGAGAAGCUAGUUUUUCAUAAGAGGUAUCAUGAGGCUCUUGAUUUUUUUGAGCUGUUGGAGUGUGAAGGUGAUUGUCAGUUAGAUAGUAGCACGUAUGAUGCUUUGGUAACUGCCUGUAUUGGGUUAAGAUCGAUUAGAGGGGUUAAGCGGGUGCAUAAUCAUAUGGUUAGUUCUGGAUUGGUAUUAGACCAGUACUUAUGGAACAGGGUUUUAAUGAUGCAUGUCAAAUGUAAGAUGAUGUUAGAUGCACGUAGCAUAUUUGAUGAAAUGCCCGAGAGGAACUCGAUUUCUUGGAAUACAAUGGUUGGAGGGCUAGUUGAUUUGGGGGAUUAUUUGGAGGCAUUUAGGUUGUUUUUUAUGAUGUGGGAAGAGAAUUCUGCUGCUGAUCCUCGGAUAUUUGCGACAAUGAUUCGAGCAUCUUCUGGAUUAGAGGUUAUUUCUUUGGGACAGCAAUUGCAUUCUUGUGCUUUGAAAAUGGGGGAAGGCGACAAUCGUUUUAUAUCUUGUGCUUUAAUUGAUAUGUAUAGCAAGUGCGGUAGCAUAGAGGAUGCUCAGUUUGUUUUCGAUAAUAUGCCAGAGAAGACCACAGUAGGAUGGAAUACGAUUAUUGCUGGUUACGCUCUCCAUGGCUAUAGUGAGGAGGCUUUAUGUUUGUACUAUGAGAUGCGAGAUGCUGGUGUCAAAAUGGAUCACUUCACAUUUUCAAUCAUUAUUAGAGUUUGCACGAGAUUAGCUUCACUGGAGCAUGCUAAACAAGCUCAUGCAGGGCUAGUUCGACAUGGAUUUGGAUUAGAUAUAGUUGCUAAUACAGCAUUAGUGGAUUUCUAUAUCAAAUGGGGGAGGAUAGAAGAUGCUCGUAAUGUUUUUGAGGGGAUGCCCCAAAAGAACGUUAUUUCUUGGAAUGCCUUAAUUGGUGGAUAUGGUAAUCACGGCCGAGGGAUUGAGGCUGUUGAACUAUUUGAGCGUAUGGUUCACGAAGGAAUGAUGCCAAAUCAUGUUACUUUCUUGGCUGUUUUAUCUGCAUGUCGCUAUUCAGGUUUAUCAGAUUAUGGGUGGGAAAUAUUUGAAUCAAUGAGUAGAGAUUACAAGGUGAAGCCUCGUGCAAUGCACUAUGCAUGUAUGAUUGAAUUGUUGGGUAGAGAAGGGCUUUUAGAUGAAGCUUUUGCAUUAAUCAGAGAUGCUCCUUUUAGACCUACUAUAAAUAUGUGGGCGGCCUUACUGACAGCCUGUAGAGUCCACAAGAAUUUUGAGCUAGGAAAAUUUGCAGCUGAGAAACUUUACGGGAUGGAACCAGAAAAACUCAGCAACUAUGUGAUGCUUUUGAAUAUCUAUAACAGCUCAGGCAAGCAAGAUGAAGCUGCAGCAGUUGUUCAAACAUUGAAGAGAAAAGGACUCAGAAUAAAGCCUGCAUGCACAUGGAUAGAAAUAAAGAAGCAACCCCAUGUCUUUCUGUCUGGAGAUAAGUGCCAUGUGCAAACCAAGGAGAUAUAUGAAAAAGUGGAUGAGCUUAUGCUGGAGAUCUCUAAGUAUGGCUAUGUUACGGGGGGGAAAACCUUACUACCCGACGUAGAUGAACAGGAACAAAAAUCACCACAUUAUCACAGUGAAAAGUUGGCAAUAUCUUUUGGGCUCAUAAGCACAUCCAGUUCAACCUCACUGCAACUUGUUCAGAGUCAUAGGAUUUGCAACAAUUGCCACAAUGCAAUUAAGUUGAUAGCCAUGAUUACUAAACGAGAAAUUGUUAUUAGGGAUGCCAGCAGGUUUCAUCGAUUCAAGAACGGCACUUGUUCUUGUGGUGACUACUGGUGAUUGGAUUUUAACCUACAUGUGAACCAUACUUUUGUAUGUAAUUCAAAUAUUUUACUGAUUCUUCUUUGUUGUCAUGAGUAUUUCAAAAUCAUAUGGAUAUACCUCAUUGUUCUCUCUGGAGAUCAAUACAAUUUUUUUAUCAUAUGAUCGUUCCUGAAGACUUGCUUAUUCUACUUGUGAUUUUUAUCUGACAAAUUGGUUCCACCAAUAAGCCCAGAAAUUGUGCGCAUAUAUGUAAUAUUUGCAUCUUUAUCAGCUGAUGCAAAUUUGCUUUUCUUCUGAAGAAAAUUAUUUAUGGAUGUCUACAGUCAAACUUCUAAGCUUCAUCUGAGUUCCUGUUUUUUUCUUUCUUUCAUUCCCUUUUGGUGCUAGGGAUAUAAAAUUGUUUGUGAUACAGUGUCCAUAAAGAUAUUUCAAUGUGAACAAGAACUUAAUUGUGGUUCCUUGAAGACCCAUUAUGAGUUCUAAUUAAACUUUUUUUUUUCUGUAAGAAAAAGAGCAAAUAUUGCUAUUUCUUAUCUUUUUUAUUGAACUAUAGUUUUGAUAAAUUUUUUCUUAUGAUAUUUUAUCCUGAGAUUUCUUCUGUCAAGAUAUACUAAUAAGAUAAUGAAGUAGAAUCUUAUUAUUGCAUUUGAUUAAGAUAAGAAGUUCAAGAGGUUUGAUCUCAUGCUUAAAAUGAUACUAGUUCAUAGCUUCAUAUUAGUUGUAAGUUUUAACUUGCUGGCAAAGAAAAUUCGCCACUUGAGAAUGGGUUAAGAUAGUCAGGUUCAUUAAAAAUAUAGGUGAAGGAUAGUACUUAUGUUGAAACAGAGUUCAAAUCAGGUACAUCAUAUCUUCUACUUUUACUGAUAAAAUAAAGAUAUUCUGGUGCUAGAGAUCUGCAUAGGUAUCUAUGAUUUUGAAAGGACUUGUGGAAGUGAAAUUCAUUAGGCAUUUCCUCGUAGUUCAAAACUAUCAGCAACUCAUGUCUCCUUUUCUGAUAAAAUUAUCACGAUAUUCACCGUCCUCUAGACCUGAUAAGCUAUUGAUUCAUGUAAGCACAGGGUGAACAUGAGACUGAUCAAGUGGCAACAGAAACUUAGGAAGCUCCAAGGCAUAUUGGGAGAAAAGGUACCUGCCUAGUUUGUUUCAGAUGGAAGAGCUAAGCAACAGACCAUGGCGGGGCAGGUGGGCAGUAGAUACCUGUUAGAAUAACUGUUUGCUGAGUAUGCUCUUCAGAUCAAUUUUCUUGACUCAGGGAAGGCACUUAUUUGGUGGUCCUAUCAAUUUCAUCCAUCUUUUUGUGUCAGAGAACCAUGUCAACUGCCGAUUGAGGUCAUCAAGUUACUUGUAGUCAUCUUCCUCAUUCUUAUCAAAUUCUGUAAUCCCUAAAUAAGUAGAUUACACAAGGAAUUGAUACAGGACAUCUCAAAA